UACGAAGGGGGCUAGCGUUGCUCGGAAUCACUGGGCGUAAAGCGCACGUAGGCGGAUUGUUAAGUCAGGGGUGAAAUCCUGGAGCUCAACUCCAGAACUGCCUUUGAUACUGGCGAUCUCGAGUCCGGGAGAGGUGAGUGGAACUGCGAGUGUAGAGGUGAAAUUCGUAGAUAUUGCAAGAACACCAGUGGCGAAGGCGGCUCACUGGCCCGGUACUGACGCUGAGGUGCGAAAGCGUGGGGA
rnacentral:rRNA from 1 species